rnacentral:sRNA from 1 species
CCCUAUUCUAGUGAGAACAUAAGGUCCCCAUUGAGUAGAAGAUAUUUCCUUAUUCACGGUUCCAUGGCUUUGUCAGGCAUGCCCAUCCAAGUCUACCCAAUGAAGAUGCCGGCCAGCGUUGUUUCUUGAGUUCUGAAAUUGUCCCCCAAUGUGAUGGUGCUUGAUCAUUGCGUCAUUGUCCAUAACGUCAAGGCUUACCUACCCAAAGAAUCAACUUGGGCCUCUCCUUAAAAAACGGGAACCCUCUGAGAACGAGAAAGAGACUGGAAUCGUAAAAGAAUCAGGUACAGAAACCGUGACCGCGUCCAUAUCAAAAGGUCGCGUACACCCGAACGCUCCAGGCCACGCAAUUGUCAGCGGCGCAAGUCAACUAUCGAAGAAGAGGGGUGGUAUGUUGUGAUUAAUUGGCUCAUAUAAUUGAGUUGGCAACAAGUAAAGAUUGAAGACCAAAUUGAUCGGAGUGGUAGGUGUGCAAAGUAAAAGGGUUCCAGAAGCAAGUCGAAAGUAGGAAAGAAGCAGCAACGUUAAUCACAUAAACACAUGGAAUUAUGCAU